GUAACUUUAGUUAGUUGCAUUGGAUUCCCAGAGGCAUUAGCACCAGUGAAAAAGUGUGUCAUCUUAAUCAUCAAUCUUUUGGUAACUGUAGCUGUUACUAGGGGUGUACCUAAAUACCCAGGACCAAAAAUCGGACCGUUUGGACCGGACUCGGAUCGGUAGAUUCAGGUCUGGUCUCGAUCCUUAAAAAUGGGUGAUUCCGGUUUUCGGUUCGGGUUUAAACUGGAAUUUUCCGGACCAAAAAACCGGUGUUUUUUUUUUUUGGGUAUAAUCAGGAAACGAAAAACUGAACGUUUCCUCUAAAAAAAACCCUAAGUUCGAUUCUCUCUCUCACCAAAAUCAAUUCUUUCUCUCACCGGCGACUCCUCAUUCAUGAUGGAGAGCUCCCAAUCCAAAUGAACGACCGCUUAUUCUCAAAACACGGCACAAUCACUUAGUGAAGUGGAUGUAGAAGAAUUGUAUGCUACUUUGCCUCCGGGUAAGAAGUUAAAAGUGGGGCGGGAAUAUCUACUUAAUAGAAAGAGUAAGAGGACAAAACCUUAUUGGGAAGACUUCAUUGAAUAUGUUGAAGGCAGGAGACUACGAGCCGAAUCAAAAAGUUCAACAGGGGAAACUCCAUUUUUUCUAGUUUAUGGUGCUGAAACCGUGCUCACAAUUGAAAUGUACGAACCCACUCUCCGAGUGAUGCUAUAUGAUGAGUCGGCCAAUUAGGAAGCCAUGAAGACCGCCCUAGACUUCCUUCCAGAAGCUAGGGGCAAUGCGACACUUAGACAUGAAAUUUACCGCCUAAGGAUGACAAGGGCAUAUAACCGCAAAGUGUCUAAGCGACCGCUGAAGAUUGGAGACUUGGUCUUGAGAAAAAUGGAAGCGGUAGGCCUUACCGAAUCAAAGAAGUACCUACCGUCUCGAAGACUUAGAUGGUCUCCUAUUCCUCGUACUUGGAAUGCGGACAAUCUGAAAAAAUAUCAUGUUUAAAGUUUUGUACUUAGCCAAGUUGUAUAUACAACUAGGUCUAGAUCAGACAACCGAGCCGUGUAAUUAAAGCCGUACGGCCACAAUAGUGUAAUUUUGACGAUAUUAAUGAAAAAAUCAAGCAUUGUUACUAAAA